rnacentral:rRNA from 1 species
CCUACGCGAGGCAGCAGUGAGGAAUAUUGGUCAAUGGACGAGAGUCUGAACCAGCCAAGUAGCGUGAAGGAUGACUGCCCUAUGGUUUGUAAACUUCUUUUAUAAAGGAAUAAAACGAGGCACGUGUUCCUUUUUGCAUGUCCUUUAUGAAUAAAGAUCGGCUAACUCCGUGCCAGCAGCAGCGGUAAUACGGAGGUACCGAGCGUUAUCCGGAUUUAUUGGGUUGAAAGGGAGCGUAGAUGGGUUGUUAAGUCAGUUGUGAAAGUUUGCGGCUCAACCGUAAAAUUGCAAUUGAUACUGGCAGUCGUGAGUACAGUUGAGGUAAGCUGAAUUCGUGGUGUAGCGGUGAAAUGCUUAGAUAUCACGAAGAACCCCGAUGGCGAAGGCAGCUUACUAAACUGUGACUGACAUUGAUGCUCGAAAGUGUGGGUAUCAAACAGGAUUAGAUACCCGAGUAGUC